GAGCCGAGUUGGGCGGGUCUGGGCGUUGGCGGGAGAUUUGCUUAUAUGCACCAUGUGGGAUUUAACGCCGCUUCCUCAGACUGCAAAAAUACUUAUUUUUUAGCUUCUAUUUUGGCUUACUUAUUUUUCUUCAAGCACUGCUGAGAUAAUGUCAUUUAACUUCUUACCCAGUAUAGUCCUGAAUUUUCUUCUUUGGAAAAAAUGCAGAGAAAGCCUUUCAUUCACCACGUUGGAGUAGCAGAACUGUCCAUACAGCUGGAGAACAGAUGGUUCCACAGAAUCAUUUCAUCUGGGACUCAGAAUCUUUUUGGAAUUCUGCUGGUGAAUUACUUGGCCAACUUGAACAUAUAACCUGCUUCUCCCUUAAGUAUCUCCACCUGUGAAACAGAGGAAAAAAAAGAAGAUAACCAACCUCCAGCUUUCUGGUGACCAGCCCCGUCACGAGGUGAUCCAGGGCCCCACUUUACAAUGCAGGGCAGACAGGCUGGUGCUCAUUCACGCUUACAGACAAACUGGACAGACACAAUGAAUGGAAUACAAACAUUAAGUCAACUCAUAAAUGAACAAGUUGUCCUCACGGCUUCUCCUGCAGACACUGAGACCGAGUCACACUUCAGGACUAAUUAAGGUUAAAUGAAGCCCUAAGGGUGAGGCCCUAAUCCGAUAUGAAUGAUCGCCUUCGAAGCAGAAGCAGAAGCAGCAGAAGAGAUACCCCCAUCCCCAUCCCGGGCCAGGUGAGAAAAGCAAGAAGGCAGCCAUCUGCCAAGCAGGCAGAGUGCUUUCACCACAGACUAAAUCAGCUGGCACCUUGACCUCGGACUUGCCAGUGUCCAGAACUGUGAGAAAAUAAAUUUCUACUGUUUAA